rnacentral:rRNA from 1 species
GAACGCUGGCGGCAUGCCUUACACAUGCAAGUCGAACGGUAGAGUAGCAAUACUUGAGAGUGGCGAACGGGUGAGUAAUAUAUCGGAACGUGCCCAGUCGUGGGGGAUAACGUAGAGAAAUUUACGCUAAUACCGCAUACGAUCUACGGAUGAAAGCGGGGGAUCGCAAGACCUCGCGCGAUCGGAGCGGCUGAUAUCAGAUUAGGUUGUUGGUGAGGUAAAAGCUCACCAAGCCGACGAUCUGUAGCUGGUUUGAGAGAACGACCAGCCACACUGGGACUGAGACACGGCCCAGACUCCUACGGGAGGCAGCAGUGGGGAAUUUUGGACAAUGGGCGAAAGCCUGAUCCAGCAAUGCCGCGUGUGGGAAGAAGGC